AAACAUCGCCUCUUGAAUUAAAUAAGAGGUCCAGCCUGCCCAGUGAAAUUGUUCAACGGCCGCGGUAUCCUAACCGUGCGAAGGUAGCGUAAUCACUUGUUCUUUAAAUGAGGACUAGUAUGAAUGGCACCACGAGGGUUUUACUGUCUCCUUUUUUAAAUCAGUAAAACUAAUCUUCCCGUGAAGAAGCGGGAAUUUUUUUAUAAGACGAGAAGACCCUAUGGAGCUUUAAACAAAUGACAUUUGCUUCAUCUAAUACUUUUGUUUACAAGAAAUAUAGCAUUAUGAUCUUUAGUUUUCGAUUGGGGUGAUCACGGAGUAAAAUAUAACCUCCACGCCGAAAGGAUAUAUUCCCUAAGCAAAAAGCUACAGCUUUAAGCACUAAAAAAUUAACGCAAUUUGACCCAAUAUUUUGAUCAACGAACCAAGUUACCCUAGGGAUAACAGCGCUAUCCACUUCAAGAGCUCCUAUCGACAAGUGGGUUUACGACCUCGAUGUUGGAUCAGGGUAUCCUAGUGGUGCAGCCGCUACUAAUGGUUCGUUUGUUCAACGAUUAAAACCCUACGUGAUC
rnacentral:rRNA from 1 species